rnacentral:lncRNA from 1 species
GUGCCACAGGACUCUGUUGUCCUCUACUUAUGGACACUGAUGACAUUUUCAUUCUCUGAACCCAUAGAAAGGAGUCUCUUGAGGAAUUCCACAGAGAGGUCAACAAUUUCCACCCUGCCAUCAACCUCAGCCUGGACCAGUCCACACAGGAGAUCCACUUCCUGGACACUACAGUACAAGCAGAUUCCACUAAGAGGGAUUGGUCACAAUGAAGUCUUCACAGACGGAAGCAGGAAUGGUGAACUCAUUACAAAAGGACUCCUUUUUUUUUUUUAA